AGGCUGUUCCCGCUGUCAACAGUGCGCAGGAUCCCUUUUCUUCUGGGCUCCUGAGUAUUAAGGAAAAACUGAUCGACGUGUGCAGGCGCUGAAGGAACAGAACCGGCCGUGAGAAAGUGACACGGGAGCAUUUGGAGGAGUGGAUCAUCAAGCGUAUCACUGGAGGAUGAUGAAAUAUUAAUUAGUGUACUCUGUUAGGAGACACCCAAACUGCACCUAAGCUUCUCAGUAUGAAUAACAAACAUCUCUGUACAAAAGUGUAGAAAAUAGUGGAUCUGUAAAGAUCAUCAUCUUCCUUUGGUUUAAAUGGACUCUAAUGCCACAGUGUAUGAGAGGAGAUAUGUUACAUGCACUCACUCGUAUGGACACGAAUGUUAAUUUUGAGCUGUUAAUAAUUUCUUUGAACAGUUCUUUGUUCCAGGGUGGAAAAAUACAGCAUAGAUUUUUGAUGACUUCAGAGUUGUGUCAACACAGGGUCAAAAGUAUAAAUACAGUCAAAUAACUUAUUAGUGGUACUGAAGGUUCUAUAAUGUCUUUUAACUUGACAAGUCAAGACCUAUUAACUUCUCGUUAGUGAACAUGUUUCACUAGAACAGGCAGUUUCUUUUGAAAAAAUUCAAAUUCAACUAAAUUUGCAGCUGCUCAUGUAGACAUGUUUCUAUGUGAGCAGCUGCAGUGAUGAUGACUAAUCUACUUCUCCAAAUGUCUUCUGGAGAAACGGUUAAUUAUCAGACAAGACAAAAAUUGAACUAUUUGGUCACAAUGACGGGGUAAGUUUGGACGAGUAAAGAUGAGUACCAGCGUACCAAAUUUCAUGCAUGGAGGUGGUAGCAUCGUGCUCAGGGGGUGUUUUGCAGCCAGUGGUACUGGUACAUUGCACAAAUUGAAUAAAAUAAUGAAAAAAAACUCCCUCCAAAUUCUUUAACUUUAUCUCAACUCAGCAGCUAGAUGGUUGAAACUUGGACAAAUUAGUGUUCCAGCGGGAUAAUGAUUCUAAACACAUCAAAACUUGUUUUAGAAUAAAGUAGGCUAUCACUGAGCUUCUGAAAUGGCCUUACCAAUGCCCAGACUUCAACUCUAUUGAACAUUUGUGGACUAGACUUAAAAGGCAGAUCUGUGCCAAGAAACCAAUCAAUUUAAAUGAACUCUACAAAUUCUGUCAAGGAAAGUACUCAAAUGUCCAACCACAAUUAUAGAAGAAACUUGUUGAUGGCUACCAGAAGCAUGUGGUUAACGUGUGACUUGCUGAGGGACAUUUAGCCAAAUAUUAGUGGGGCUUUAUGUAUAUAUUUGACCUGCAUGUGUGCAUACAUGCAUAGAAAGUAUGAAAUAAAUGUCAUCUGGCGCCCAAAAUAUAAAUAAUUAAAGAUGUAUAGUGUACAAUCAUUACAUGCUGGAAAAAGAAAAGUUCAAAGAAAUCAUUAAAUCCACAAAAUUAACAAAAUUGACAUCCAUGCCCAUGAUGAGUGUAUGUAAACGUCUGAUUACAAUUUAUGAGGCUGACUGAUUAAAAAUUCAGUGGUUAUCUCUCAGGACCAACAGUCUCAGAUAAUCCUGGGAUGAAUGAGCACACCAGUACUUUACAAAGGCUUUGAAUAACCACUUUACAGUCUUGCUUGUACCUCAGCAGAUAGUGGAAAUAGACUUUACACUCUUCCUUGAUGAUGCCUGUUUGACAAUUGAUCUUUAGCCCCGGUCACCUUCUUUCACAGUGACAAAUAAGAACAGAGAAACAAAAGGAAGAAGAAGACGGUGCAGGGUCAGAAAUAUCUCAGCAGUUGAACUGAAUGUGCACUUUCCUUGGACUUUUUCCUCACAAGUUGCUGACACAGCAGGAUAUCAGUAGGAACAUGGCGAUGUACUGUACAGUUAGCCUUCGGGGAACAAUGUGCUCAGUGAGAGGCACGGCCGCACAAGCUGUGGACGGCCUGAGCAGGUGUGGGCUGGAGGGGUUAAGGGGGUUAAUGACAA